rnacentral:rRNA from 1 species
AGUAAGCGGAGGACAAGAAACUAAACAGGAUCCCCAUAGUAAUGGCGAAUGAACAGGGAUGAGCUCAGCAUGGAAAUUGGGGCCUGUGGCUUUGACUUGUAAUCUUGUGAGGCAUUGCCAACAGAGGCGCAGAUGUAAGUCUCUUGGAAAAGAGCAUCAAUGAGGGUGAGAGUCCUGCUUGUCAUUUGCAGCCCCCCUGUGCACGGUGUGCCUUCUAAGAGUCACGUUCCUCGGGAUUGGAGCGCAAAGUGGGUGGUAACUUUCAUCUGAAGCUAAACAAUGGUUUGGGACCGAUAGGAAACAAGUACCAUGAGGGAAAGGUGAAAAGGACUUUGGAAAGAGAGUUAAAAGUGCCUGAAAUUGCUGAAGGGGAAGCGAAUGGAACCAGUGGUGCUGGGUGAGAUUGUCACACGCUGCAGGGAUUGGUUGCUGCAUCAGCGCAAGCGAUCUAGCGAUUGUUGAAUUGUAAGUGUGUGGUGUGUCUUGCCUUGUGUGUCAUUGUGGGUUUAUGCAUUAAGACAAUUCAAAGUGCAUGGCAAUAUGUUUCUGAAUCUAUGAAUGUGUUUUGUUAUGUUUAUGCAUAAGCUUCCUACUCUAUGUCUGGCUGCAGUGCUUGCCGUCCCCAUUUUUUGGAUAGAUGAGCUGAGCAUGUCCUUCUGCACAGAUCUUGGCUAAAUGGUUCUAUUCG